AAUCACUUUCGACCAUCAUCUCUAGCCAUGAUCAAUCAUUAGCUAUGAUUGGCAACAACUCCAUGAGACUACCAACCAUAUUAGACCAUAACUUGCCACUGCCACUAAUUAUCUUUACAUCAACGCCUUUCGUCGGUCAUCAUUUUCACUUGUUUUCAAAAUCAUUUUUUUUUAAAUAAGUACUAAACUUGUUUUUUUUUUGUUUUUUUUUAUUUUUGUCAAAAAUAAACAUAAAUUUAUUUAAUAUUGUAGAUAACAAAUAAAUAAAUAAAAUGUGAACCUGAUGCUAAUAUCCCCUAUUUCCCUUCCAAUGUUCCAAUUUCCAAAAACAAAUUGGCAGGAGAAAAAAAAAAAAAAAAGUUUAGAGAGUGAAAAAAAGAAAAACUGUUAAAAUUGUAAAGAUUUUAUGGGACUGCAUGAGAAAGCCAGCUUCAAGGUCUGUGCUGCUCUUCAAUUUCACCAAAAACCUCUCUUCUUCCAAACUACUUCUCUUCUCGGUCUCUAAUCACCACUAUCAUUCUCAUCACGCAGUCCCUAAUCAGCCCUUAAAUGGAGAAAAAAAACUCAACCACCAAUGGCUUCUUCAGUUGCUUCAAGAACGCUCAAGAAUCCUAUCAAUCAAUGCAACCAAGUCUCUCCACGCACUCGCCAUUACAAUGGGUUCGAAUUUUCCACAACCCAUCUUUCUUAACAACACCACCAUUUCGUACUAUGUGUCGGUGGGUGAGUUAUUGCUUGCUCGUAAGGUGUUCGACGAAAUGCCUCAAAGAAACAUAGUAUCAUACAAUACGAUGAUUGGUGCUUAUGGUCGUUGUAAGAAUGCAGAGGAAGCUUGGAAGUUGUUUUCUGAGAUGAGAAGUCGAGGUUUUGAGCCUACCCAGUUCACAUUCGGAGGACUUUUGUCGUGCCCGUCUUUGGAUCUUUUUAGAGGAUUUUAUUUGCAGGGAUUGAUUAUAAAGAGUGGAUUGCUUUACACGGAUGCUUUUGCAGGAACUGCAUUGUUGGGUUUGUUUGGGAGGCAUGGAUGCUUAGAUGAAACCCUUAAAGCUUUUGAAGACAUGCCUCAAAAGAAUUUGGUUACGUGGAAUUCGAUGAUAUCAUUGUUUGGCCGUAAUGGCUUUGUUGAAGAGUCAAUUAUCAUGCUCCGUGAGCUCAUGAAGAUAGAGUGGCGUUUGUCUGAAUAUUCAUUUGUGGGUGUUUUAUCUGGAUUUGUGUCAGACGAAGACUUGGAAUUAGGAGAACAAGUUCAUGGUUUAUUGAUUAAAAAUGGGUUAGGUUGCAAAGUUUUGGUUGCAAAUGCUAUGAUCAAUAUGUAUGUGAAGUUCUCUGAUUCAUACACAGCAGAGAAAUUGUUUAGGGAGGUUCCUGUCCGGGAUAUUGUGUCAUGGAAUACAAUCAUUGGAGCAUUGGCAAAAAGUGAUCAUCCGGGCAAAGCAUUAGAGCUCUUCUUGAAAAUGUAUGUGGAUGGAGUCUGGCCUAACCAGACAACAUUUGUUAGUGUUAUUAAUUCUUGUACGAGCUCGCAGAUUUUGAUGUAUGGAAAAUUCAUCCAUGCUAAAAUAAUCAAAUACAUGUUUGGAUCUGAUGUAUUUGUUGGUAGUGCAUUGGUUGAUUUUUAUGCAAAACAUGAUGAGUUGAAAGACACACGUCGUUGUUUUGAUGAUAUAGAUGAGAAGAAUGUCGUUUCUUGGAAUGCUUUAAUUUUUGGUUACUCAAAGAAGCACUGCUUAUCCUCUUUUUCAAUGCUUCGUGAAAUGAUUCGAAUGGAUUAUAGGCCAAAUGAGUAUUCGUUUUCAACUGUACUUCAAUCGUCCUUCACCCUGGAGUUGCAGCAGCUUCAUUCGUUGAUAAUAAAAAUGGGUUUUCACCAGAAUGAGUAUGUCUUGUGCUCUCUCAUUACCUCAUACACCAAAAAUGGUUUGAUAUCUGAUGCCCUAAUCUUAGUUCCUGCUACUAACACACCACUUCCGGUUGUCCCUUCGAAUGUUAUUGCCGGAGUUUAUAAUAGGAUACGCCAGUAUCAUAAAGCACAAGAGAUAUUUUCUCUUCUUGAGGAACCUGACCUUGUUUCUUGGAACAUCUUGAUUGCAGCUUGUUCCCGCAAUGGUGAUUACAAGGAGGUUUUCGAACUAUUCGGACACAUGCAACUGGCUUGCAUCCACCCUGACAAUUACACGUAUGUUAGCCUCCUAAGUGCUUGCACUAAACUUUGCAACCUUGCUUUGGGUAGUUCACUUCAUGGCCUUAUCAUGAAGACUGAUUUUGAUUUCAAACUUUGCGACAUGUUUGUUUACAAUGUAAUGAUAGACAUGUAUGGUAAAUGUGGGAACCUCGAGAGUUCGUUGAAAACAUUCAACGAAAUGACAGAUAAGAAUCUUAUCUCAUGGACUGCUCUAAUUUCUGCACUUGGACUUCAUGGUCGUGCAGAUGAGGCAUUACAAAGGUUCAGACAAAUGGAGGCAGUUGGGUUUAAGCCAGAUAGAGUUGCUUUCGUUGCCAUGCUUUCAGCGUGCAGACAUGGUGGGUUGGUGGAUGAAGGAAAGGAACUUUUUGGGAAAAUGAAAACAAAUUAUGGGAUUGAACCAGACAUGGAUCACUAUGUUCUUAUGGUGGACUUGUUGAGUAGAUAUGGACAUCUCAAGGAAGCAGAGCAAUUAAUUGUUGGCAUGCCUUUCUUGCCGAAUGCUCUGAUAUGGCGUAGUUUUCUUGAAGGCUGCAACAGACAGCGUAGUGCAGAAUAUCUUGCUGUGGAAGAUAGGAACUUGAAAUCCAGUGGAUGAGCUCAUAUAUUGUUGUCCUAGGAGAUAAUAUAUUAUAAUAGCGAAGCAGGCAGAUGCUCUGGAAACAUUGCAGAAAUUGCACCUCUUCAUGCCUUCACCGGUGGGGCUUGGACUAUGUUGUUGAACAUUUUUAGCCAAUACCGGGACAUCUCUUCUCUCCGGAGGUGCAAUCAACCGCAGUGCCAACGAAAUUUUCUGAUCCAGUGAAAUAGUAGAAUCUGUGAGAGAAGAAUCAUUUGAGUUUUGUGACAAAGAUAAAGAUAGCGAAGAAAGGGAUAGAGUCGAAAUGCUCUUGUGGAGGCUAAUCGGGAAAAUCCUCACAUCUUCCCGUAGGUCUAAGGCAGCGCCCAUGACGAGUGUCCGUUCCGGAUGCGAGACUCUAACUUGGGAGCUUGCACCGACCCCUCAACAUAAGUUCCAUUUAAGUCAAGACUCGCGCAGCGGAGGGGAGUCGAACCCACGCCAAUUUAAUGCAAAGCAGCACUUUGAGGCUCUCCCCCCAAGCCAACUGCGCUACCGCCCAGGGGUUAAUGGAGUCUAUUUAGCCAUAUCAUUUUCGAAAAGUGGCUUGAAGAAAAAUUGUUACUGGUUUAUGCAGAUUUUAAAAUCCUCGCUAUGUAUUCUUCUCCUGUAGUCUUAAUUUU